UACGGGAGGCAGCAGUGGGGAAUAUUGCACAAUGGGCGAAAGCCUGAUGCAGCUAUGCCGCGUGUAUGAAGAAGGCCUUAGGGUUGUAAAGUACUUUCAUCGGGGAGGAAAAACAAAACUAAUAAUUUUAUUUCUUGACGUUACCCGAAAAAGAAGCACCGGCUAACUCCGUGCCAGCAGCCGCGGUAAUACGGAGGGUGCUAGCGUUAAUCAGAAUUACUGGGCGUAAAGAGCACGUAGGUGGUUUUUUUAAGUCAGAUGUGAAAUCCCUGGGCUUAACCUAGGAACUGCAUUUUGAAACUGAAAUACUAGAGUAUCGUAGAGGGAGGUAGAAUUCUAGGUGUAGCGGUGAAAUGCGUAGAUAUCUGGAGGAAUACCUGUGGCGAAAGCGGCCUCUAAACGAAUACUGACACUGAGUGCGAAAGCGUGGGGAGCAAACAGGGAUUAGAUACC
rnacentral:rRNA from 1 species